rnacentral:rRNA from 1 species
CCUACGGGAGGCAGCAGUGGGGAAUAUUGCACAAUGGGGGAAACCCUGAUGCAGCGACGCCGCGUGAGCGAUGAAGUAUUUCGGUAUGUAAAGCUCUAUCAGCAGGGAAGAAAAUGACGGUACCUGACUAAGAAGCCCCGGCUAACUACGUGCCAGCAGCCGCGGUAAUACGUAGGGGGCAAGCGUGAUCCGGAUUUACUGGGUGUAAAGGGAGCGUAGACGGUCCUGCAAGCCAGAUGGGAAAUCCCCGCGCUCAACGUGGGAACUGCCUUUGAAACUGGCAAACUGGAGUGUGUGAGAGGAUAGUGGAAUUCCAGGUGUAGGAGUGAAAUCCGUAGAGAUCUGGAGGAACAUCAGUGGCGAAGGCGACUAUCUGGCACAUAACUGACGCUGAGGAGCGAAAGCGUGGGUAGCAAACAGGAUUAGAUACCCGUGUAGUC